rnacentral:lncRNA from 1 species
UUGGUCUGCUGUGGGGAGGGUCGAGAUGAAACUGGAACGUUGUUUGAACCUAGAUCAUAAAGUGACUCCAACAUCUUCAUACCAGGGGGAAAUAGGAGCUGUAAUUGUCUCCUCUUAUUGUUCUAUCAGGCUCUCUCAGCUUCUAGCAGCUUUCUUGUUUCAGAGAGGAGGAAGCUGUGCUGUGAAGGAUCCUUUUUCAUCAUGAUUAUUGCAUCCACAGAAGCAGUGAUAAAUUCUAAUAGAUAAUGCAACUCAGUCUACUUGGAUGUUCACACCUGAGACUGGAGAAGACCUGCUGCCUUCUGCAGAGCCAAACAUUCCUCACAUGCUCCUCCACAAUGCUGUCAAUGCAGCAAGAAUAGUCUUAUAUAGACUAUAAACUCCUGGUACACUGUGUCUACAUUGCUCACUGCAGUAUCCCAACAUCUAAGACCAUGGUCUUAGAUGUCUGGUACAGGACUGGUGCUCAGUAUGCACUGAAUGAAUAAAUGAAUGAAUAUAGCAAAG